UACAGAGGUCUCAAGCGUUGUUCGGAUUCAUUGGGCGUAAAGGGUGCGUAGGUGGCGCCGUAAGUCAGGUGUGAAAUCCCGGGGCUCAACCCCGGAACUGCACUUGAUACUGCGGUGCUUGAGUACUGGAGAGGAGAUUGGAAUUUACGGUGUAGCAGUGAAAUGCGUAGAUAUCGUAAGGAAGACCAGUGGCGAAGGCGAAUCUCUGGACAGUUACUGACACUGAGGCACGAAGGCCAGGGGAGCAAACGGG
rnacentral:rRNA from 1 species